rnacentral:rRNA from 1 species
AUGGCGGACACAAGAGCCAAAGUCCAGAUCACAGUCGAUCGAGUGGAAAAAGAAGUUGCAGAUCUGCGGGCAGAGGUGGAAGGCUUACAAGAAUUGAAGCAGGAGGUAACUAAGCUUCGAUCAGAGAUGGUGACGAUGCCCAAGGUGGAAGCAAAGUUGUCGGAAAUGAAUGAAGGGAUUCAACAGACCCUGCAGUUGAUUUUGCAACAGAUGAACAUCAACAGCCAGAAAACAGAGAGAGUCACUCCAGAUCCUAAAGCAACAGAACAUCCUGACCAGACUAAGGCGAGUGAUCAGGUACCAGUUGCUAGUAUAGGCAAGACCACAGCAUCAGUAGAACCAGUGGUUCGAAAUCUGGAAAAGGAGUUCAAGAUAUCAGGAAAACUCCCAAUGACUAGCCUUGUGGGUGUGACUACUGAUCUGCCACACUCCCAGUUAAUGUCAGAAGGUACAAGAGUAAGCAGUGAAAGGCAACAAGAGAUAGGAGGAAUGGGACAAGGCCAAAAUCAUCAAGCAAAUCCAAGUGCCACAAUACAGGCACACACUUUGGGGUUUGCAGGAAAUAUUGGAUAUUUUGCUCCUAUAAGUGCUCCUUUGUUUUCUCCUCCUCAUACUUACAACCCUGUCACUGGUCAGUACAUUAAUAUGACAACAACUGCUCAAGGAGUCUCCCCUGUGUAUCAAGCAGUGGGGAACUUGUAUGAUAUGCAGAGAAAUCAAUAUGCAACUCAACUAGGUGGGCCUUCUUAUUUUGCUGAAGUAGUGCUAAAAGGACCCAGGUUGGAAAUUCCUUUGUUCAGUGGAGAUGAUCCUAUAGGCUGGUUAAUAGCUUGUGAAAAGUUCUUUGACAUGUCUGGGACACCUUAUGAGCAAUUGGUUAAUUUAGCAACAGGACAUCUGCAAGGAAGAGCAUCCAAUUGGUUGAAAAACAUAUGUGUGCCAUGGCAAAUGAUCACUUGGCAACAAUUUUGUCAGAUGAUAGCUGAUAGAUUUUCAGAAGCAAAUGUGCAUGAAGCUGUGGAAUUACUGAAAAACAUACAGCAGACAAAUACAGUGGCACAGUAUAUUGACAACUUUGAACAGUGUGUUGCCUUGGUGAAAAGAGACCAUCCUUGUUUACAAGAGAAUUUCCUCCUCAGCUGUUUCAUUGGGGGGUUAAGAAGUGAUAUUAAACAUGAGGUGUGUGGACAAAAACCAACUGGUAUUAUUCAAGCAUACUGGUAUGCCAAGGUGUAUGAGAAAGCUGCAGCAGCAAGGAAAGUGCAAAACACUCCAGUAUAUAAGACCAGGCCAUACCAAAACCCUUAUAGAAACUCUAGCAAUCCUAUGCAAGUGCAAAUUCCUCCCCAAGAGAAAUACAAUGUUCCAUUCCCUAAAGAUGCUAGGGCCUGUUGGUAUUGCAGAGAGCCAUGGACUAGGCAACACAAAUGUAAAAUUGGGAAGACAAUACACAUCUUACAAGAAAUAGAAGAUGAGGAAGAUAGUGAUAAUACUGAGGAUAGUGCCAGUCAAGAACAAGUGUAUCAUACAGCCCCAAAUACUCCUGACAAAGAAAAGCCCAGUGAAGGGACUGUAGACAAACCUGCACAAGCUAUGCAUAUUUCAGUGCAUGCAGUAGAAGGAACUCCUGGGGCAAACACUUUCUCCUUGAUCAUAGAAAUUGCAGGCAAAAGAGCAACAACUUUGUUUGAUAGUGGAUCUUCAGAUACUUUCAUUAGCACUGAGUUUGCUAUUAAAAGCAAUUGUCACCAACAGCCAAUGCAACCCAGGAAAGUGACUGUUGCUGGGGGAGGAAAACUAAUAGCAAAGUCCAAAGUUCCAGAUAUGAACUUCAGCAUUCAAGGCCACACUUUCUGCAGUAGUUUUAAAGUAUUGGACUUACAGGCAUAUGAUAUAAUCUUGGGGGCUGAUUGGAUCUAUCAGUACAGUCCUAUUUCUUUGGACUUAGUGGAGAGGAUUUUAAUUGUCACAAAACAAGGGCAACCAGUGACACUAUUUGACCACUCCAUUCCCAAAAAAGAAGUGUAUGGUGUCUGCAAUGAGAAUGGAAAAAUUACUCAAGAAAGGAGUAAAUGGGAUAUAUCUUACAGAUUCAGGAGAUGCAAAAUGAAGAUAAUACAGUAA